AACGCAUAUUGCGCUCGAGGCUUCGGCCGAGAGCAUGUCUGCCUCAGCGUCGGGUUAAUAUCACCAACACUUAACCUUGGUUGAGUGCUUUGGUGGACCUGGCUGUUCCAGAGAAAGGGGAAUAUCAAUGCCUGUAGACUUAACUGGCUACAAGUACUUGUAUAUUCAAUAGUCCUGCUGGAUCAGCUGAAGUACAGAGGCUAGUCAAGGACCCUUUAAACAAAGGGCCGCAACUGGGUAGGCAGCUUCACGGCUUGCUAUCAAUGCUUAGUUGUUGGCCUGGGACCUUGUGCUAUUAAAGCCCUCCAACCAGGAAACAUUAACCCAACUUAUUAUCUCGACCUGAGCUCAGGCAAGAACACCCGCUGAACUUAA
rnacentral:misc_RNA from 1 species